rnacentral:rRNA from 1 species
GCAAGUCGAGCGGAAACGAAAGUAGCUUGCUACUAGGCGUCGAGCGGCGUACGGGUGAGUAACGCGUAGGAAUCUACCUGGUAGUGGGGGAUAGCCCAGAGAAAUUUGGAUUAAUACCGCAUACGCCCUACGGGGGAAAGGAGGGGAUCUUCGGACCUUUCGCUAUCAGAUGAGCCUGCGGGAGAUUAGCUAGUGGGUAGGGUAAUGGCCUACCAAGGCGACGAUCUCUAGCUGGUUGGAGAGGAUGAGC